GGGCACGGUACUGCUGGGAUCCCCUUGAGGUCAGAGGGGCAAACCCAACCAUGAAGAAGUGCAGACGAGGAAAGGGGAUCAGGUUCACUGCCAGCUUCCUGAGGUCAGAGUUCAGCUGGCCUGGGAAACGGAGGCAGCAGGUAACCCCACUCAUGGUGGCAGAGAUCAAAUGGUUCAAGUCUCCAAAGCUAGGUGUUGUCAGCUUGAGAGUGCGGAAACAGAUAUCAUACAGAGCCUCAUUGUCAAGCACCAUACACUCA
rnacentral:misc_RNA from 1 species